rnacentral:rRNA from 1 species
CCCGCGGCAUGCUGAUCCGCGAAUUACUAGCGAUUCCAGCUUCACGCAGUCGAGUUGCAGACUGCGAUCCGGACUACGAUCGGUUUUCUGGGAUUGGCUCCACCUCGCGGCUUGGCAACCCUCUGUUCCGACCAUUGUAUGACGUGUGAAGCCCUACCCAUAAGGGCCAUGAGGACUUGACGUCAUCCCCACCUUCCUCCGGUUUGUCACCGGCAGUCUCCUUAGAGUGCCCUUGCGUAGCAACUAAGGACAAGGGUUGCGCUCGUUGCGGGACUUAACCCAACAUCUCACGACACGAGCUGACGACAGCCAUGCAGCACCUGUGCGCCGGUUCUCUUUCGAGCACGUCCACCUCUCAGCAGACUUCCGACCAUGUCAAGGGUAGGUAAGGUUUUUCGCGUUGCAUCGAAUUAAUUCACAUCAUCCACCGCUUGUGCGGGUCCCCGUCAAUUCCUUUGAGUUUUAAUCUUGCGACCGUACUCCCCAGGCGGUCAACUUCACGCGUUAGCUACGUUACUAAGGAAAUGAAUCCCCAACAACUAGUUGACAUCGUUUAGGGCGUG